rnacentral:rRNA from 1 species
GACGAACGCUGGCGGCGUGCCUAAUACAUGCAAGUCGAACGCUUCUUUCCUCCCGAGUGCUUGCACUCAAUUGGAAAGAGGAGUGGCGGACGGGUGAGUAACACGUGGGUAACCUACCCAUCAGAGGGGGAUAACACUUGGAAACAGGUGCUAAUACCGCAUAACAGUUUAUGCCGCAUGGCAUAAGAGUGAAAGGCGCUUUCGGGUGUCGCUGAUGGAUGGACCCGCGGUGCAUUAGCUAGUUGGUGAGGUAACGGCUCACCAAGGCCACGAUGCAUAGCCGACCUGAGAGGGUGAUCGGCCACACUGGGACUGAGACACGGCCCAGACUCCUACGGGAGGCAGCAGUAGGGAAUCUUCGGCAAUGGACGAAAGUCUGACCGAGCAACGCCGCGUGAGUGAAGAAGGUUUUCGGAUCGUAAAACUCUGUUGUUAGAGAAGAACAAGGACGUUAGUAACUGAACAUCCCCUGACGGUAUCUAACCAGAAAGCCACGGCUAACUACGUG